UGCGGGCCAGCGUGUUAGAAUAGCCCUUUCGGCAAUCAUCAGGCUCAUAACCUGAAGGUCAUAGGUUCAAAUCCUAUCCCCGCAACCA
rnacentral:tRNA from 1 species